CCUGAGUCUGAUGCAAAUUGAUGGUGGCUUGAUGCAAAACUGUAUGCUGAGGGGGCUAGCACGUUCACCUCAUACCUCCAGGGUCCGGGGUUCGAGUCCCGCCGGGGCCAUGUGUGUGUGCGGAGUUUGCAUUUUCUCCCUGUGCUGCAGGGAUUUCCUCCGGGUACUGCGGUUUCCUCCACCAGUCCAAAGACAUGCAUGAUAGGCUGACUGGCAUGUCUAAAGUGUCCGUAGUGUAUGAUGAGUGUGUAUGUGAUUGUGCCCUGCAAUGGACUGGCACCCUGUCCAGGUUGUACCCCGCCUCAUGCCCGAUGCUACCUGGGAUUGGCUUCAGGUUCCCCCGUGACCCUGAAAAGGAGUAAGCGGUAGAAGAUGGAUGGAUGCUGAGGAAGAAAAUGAUUCUGGCUUCAACAACAGCAUGUGAAUCCACCUACGAGUAUGUUUUUGGGAGAUGGGGGAGGGGAAACCUGGAGGAUGCCAACACAGACAGCAAAGAGUUCUGGUGUUAGAUAAAUAGGAACCAGCAAGAGAAAGGCGUCUCUUGCAUCGGCCAUGCUGAGCCACACUUGAACACGUUUGUUUGUCGCCAGGGGAAAUGGAACGUGCGCAGAAUUGUAACGUCUCAUCUGCAGAACUGCAAAAAGUAGGGAGAUGAGGAGCAAGCAUGCCACAAAGAAGAACAUGCAGCCUUUGUGCAACUACAAAAGCGGUUUUGUAAGUUGAAGGGCUUGCUGGGGGAGGAAACGCAGCUGGCGGGGGUUGAGUCUUCGCCAGAAAGCCUCAAGAACUCAAAGCAAAGUGC
ensembl:lncRNA